CUCGUAGGCGGUUCAGCAAGUCGGGUGUGAAAACUCUGGGCUUAACCCAGAGCCUGCACUCGAAACUGCUGUGACUAGAGUUCGGUAGGGGAGCAGGGAAUUCCUAGUGUAGCGGUGAAAUGCGCAGAUAUUAGGAGGAACACCAAUGGCGAAGGCACUGCUCUGGGCCGAUACUGACGCUGAGGAGCGAGAGCGUGGGUAGCAAACA
rnacentral:rRNA from 1 species